ACCCCCUGUAACCAGGCGAGUGUCCCGUGGGGUCCCCACCCUUUCACAGGCGUGGGGCUGGGCGUGUGCCCUCCCUGUCCUCGGGGGAAGGCCGAGCUCCGUGGCUCCCUGGGUGUGAACCCGCCUGUAAGCAGGGUCCGGGUCUGGGAGCCUUUGUGCUCCCUCAGCUGGCAGCCUGUGCGGGGCGACCGCCCCGUUAGCGGGGAGCGGGUCAGAUGCCCCCGAAGCGGAGAGAAGGAGCCUCCGCGGGCCUUUGGGCCCAGGGCUGCCCUGUAAGUCGGGGCCAGUGCCCUGGAGUCCCGGGCACUUUGCGCUCCAGGCAGCGGCCGGAGCCCCCCGUAAGCAGGGGUGCAGCCUCUUUGGCCACUGCUUUGCAUGCCCAGCUGCCUUUGCCCAGAGGGCCCGGCUCCCAGCAGCGGAUGGGACUGCGUCGCUCUGAAGCCGUCGGAGAAGAAAGAAGACACAGGAGUGGAACUUCGAGGCAAGAGCGAAGAAGAGGAGCAGCAGCGUCGAGCUCAAGAGGGGGCACGACAGGGACCCUCUGGGCAAAUGCACCUCCCUGGCCCCCCCCGGGCAGGGAUCCGUAAGAGUCCAGCGGGCACCUUCAGGCUGCCCCGGCUGGCUUUGCGCUGGGCGACCUCCCUGUAAGCAGGGCUGGGUCUUUGAUUUGCUUUGCUGGCCUUUGGCCAUGGCGCUCCUUUGGCUGCCCGGAGAGAGGGGCAACCCUGUAAGGAGGGUGAGAGCCCCCAUCUCCGCACCCGAGGGGGGAAACGGAGCUCUCCCGACCCCCAGCCCACCCUGUAAGCAGGGUAGGGCUUUUCCUGACCCCCAGCCCGCCCUGUAAGCAGGGCAGGGCUUUUCCUGACCCCCAGCCCGCCCUGUAAGCAGGGCAGGGCUUUUCCUCACCCCCUGCCCGCCCUGUAAGCAGGGCAGGGCUUUUCCUGACCCCCAGCCCGCCCUGUAAGCAGGGCAGGGAUUUUCCUGACCUCCAGCCCGCCCUGUAAGCAGGGCAGGGCUUUUCCUGACCCCCCAGCCCGCCCUGUAAGCAGGGCAGGGCUUUCCUGACCCCCAGCUCGCCCUGUAAGCAGGGCAGGGCUUUUCCUGACCCCCAGCCCGCCCUGUAAACAGGGCAGGGCUUUUCCUGACCCCCAGCCCGCCCUGUAAACAGGGCAGGGCUUUUCUGACCCCCAGCCCGCCCUGUAAGCAGGGUAGCGCUUUUCCUGACCCCCAGCCCGCCCUGUAAGCAGGGCAGGGCUUUUCCUGACCCCCAGCCCGCCCUGUAAGCAGGGCAGGGCUUUUCCUGACCCCCAGCCCGCCCUGUAAGCAGGGCAGGGCUGUUCCCCCCUGGCACCUUUGUGCCUGCUUAAGCCCCCUGGCCAGAGUGACCCCCUGUAGCUGGGGCGUGUCACGGCCUUGGUCCCUGGGCCAGUUGUGAGCCCCUCAGUGUGCUGAGGCCCCUCUGGCCUCUGCAGAGCCCGGGGCAGGGCUGAGGCUCUGCUCUCCUGCCCAGAGGGAGGGAUGGCUCCCCACGCGUUGGCUGCACAGAGCCUGCUCCCUCUUCUGGGACGUUCCCCCUUUGUGUUUUUGUCUUUGUCGGUGUGAGUGAGCAAGUGAGCUUGUGUUUUAUCCCCCAUAGCAAAAGUGAGGCUAGUGUAGCUUAGACUUCCCAGGAGGGAAAGAGGGGCUCUGUGCAGCAACCGGGGGGUGCCCUCUGAACCCACGGGUGGAGACAGGGCCCAGCCUUGCCCCUUCUUCCCCAGGACAGAGCGAAGCCCGUUAGUGGCGGUGCAGGCACCGUGACCCGCCUGUAGCCAGGGCCUGGGCGUGUGCCUGCGCUGCGGGGCUGCCUGUCCUGCUGGUGAUGUGCCAGCGUGAUCCCCCCCCCCCGGCCUUAGGCCGUCAGGCCACUGUUGGGAGUGCCGGGCCUCGGGGGCGGCCCUGUAAGUGGGGCUUUGUGCGUCCCCCGUGCCCGGCGGGCGGUUGGAGGGACCCCCUGUAACCAGGCGAGUGUCCCGUGGGGUCCCCACCCUUUCACAGGCGUGGGGCUGGGCGUGUGCCCUCCCUGUCCUCGGGGGAAGGCCGAGCUCCGUGGCUCCCUGGGUGUGAACCCGCCUGUAAGCAGGGUCCGGGUCUGGGAGCCUUUGUGCUCCCUCA